ACGGGGUGCAGCAGGCGAGAAAACUUUGCAAUGUGCGAAAGCACGACAAGGUUAAUCCGAGUGAUUCCUGCUAAAGGAAUCUUUUGUUAGUCAUAAUACCACUAAUGAAUAAGGGGUGGGCAAGUUCUGGUGUCAGCCGCCGCGGUAAAACCAGCACCUCAAGUGGUCAGGAUGAUUAUUGGGCCUAAAGCAUCCGUAGCCGGCUCUGUUAGUUUUCGGUUAAAUCUAUAUGCUCAACAUAUAGGCCGCCGGGAAUACUACAAAGCUAGGGAGUGGGAGAGGUAGACGGUACUCCGUAGGAAGGGGUAAAAUCCUUUGAUCUAUGGAUGACCACCUGUGGCGAAGGCGGUCUACCAGAACACGUUCGACGGUGAGGGAUGAAAGCUGGGGGAGCAAACCGGAUUAGAUACCCGGGUAGUCCCAGCUGUAAACUAUGCAAACUCAGUGAUGCAUUGGCUUGUGGCCAGUGCAGUGCCACAGAGAAGUCGUUAAGUUUGCCGCCUGGGAAGUACGUACGCAAGUAUGAAACUUAAAGNAANNGNCGGGGGAGCAC
rnacentral:rRNA from 1 species